AUUGAACGCUGGCGGCAUGCUUUACACAUGCAAGUCGAACGGCAGCGCGGGCUUCGGCCUGGCGGCGAGUGGCGAACGGGUGAGUAAUGCAUCGGAACGUGCCCAGUAGUGGGGGAUAGCCCGGCGAAAGCCGGAUUAAUACCGCAUACGACCUGAGGGUGAAAGCGGGGGACCCAAAGGCCUCGCGCUAUUGGAGCGGCCGAUGUCGGAUUAGCUAGUUGGUGGGGUAAAGGCUUACCAAGGCGACGAUCCGUAGCUGGUCUGAGAGGACGACCAGCCACACUGGGACUGAGACACGGCCCAGACUCCUACGGGAGGCAGCAGUGGGGAAUUUUGGACAAUGGGGGCAACCCUGAUCCAGCCAUGCCGCGUGCGGGAAGAAGGCCUUCGGGUUGUAAACCGCUUUUGUUCGGGAAGAAAUCCUCUGGGCUAAUACCCCGGGGGGAUGACGGUACCGGAAGAAUAAGCACCGGCUAACUACGUG
rnacentral:rRNA from 1 species